GACGAACGCUGGCGGCGUGCUUAACACAUGCAAGUCGAACGAAGUGGCGAACGGGUGAGUAACGCGUAAUCAACCUGCCCUUCAGAGGGGGACAACAGUUGGAAACGACUGCUAAUACCGCAUACGGAAGGAGGGGAUUGCGUCUGAUUAGCUGGUUGGAGGGGUAAUGGCCCACCAAGGCGAUGAUCAGUAGCCGGUCUGAGAGGAUGAACGGCUACAUUGGGACGUAGACACGUCCCGGACUCCUGCGGGAGACAGCAGUGGGGAAUCUUCCGCAAUGGACGAAAGUCUGACGGAGCAACGCCGCGGGAGUGAUGACGGCCUUCGUGUUGUAAAGCUCUGUUAAUCGGGACGCGGUACCGGAAUAGAAAGCCACGGCUAACUACGUGCCAGCAGCCGCGGUAAUUC
rnacentral:rRNA from 1 species